rnacentral:rRNA from 1 species
UACGUAGGGUGCGAGCGUUAAUCGGAAUUACUGGGCGUAAAGCGUGCGCAGGCGGUUUUGUAAGCCAGAUGUGAAAGCCCCGGGCUCAACCUGGGAAUGGCAUUUGGGACUGCAAGGCUGGAGUUUGGCAGAGGAGACUGGAAUUCCUGGUGUAGCAGUGAAAUGCGUAGAUAUCAGGAGGAAUACCGAUGGCGAAGGCAGGUCUCUGGGCUAUAACUGACGCUCAUGCACGAAAGCGUAGGGAGCAAACAGG